UACGUAGGGUGCAAGCGUUGUCCGGAAUUAUUGGGCGUAAAGAGCUCGUAGGUGGCCUGUCGCGUCGGCUGUGAAAACUCGGGGCUCAACUCCGAGCUUGCAGUCGAUACGGGCAGGCUAGAGUUCGGCAGGGGAGACUGGAAUUCCUGGUGUAGCGGUGAAAUGCGCAGAUAUCAGGAGGAACACCGGUGGUGAAGGCGGGUCUCUGGGCCGAUACUGACACUGAGGAGCGAAAGCGUGGGGAGCGAACAGG
rnacentral:rRNA from 1 species